AGACAGAGACAGAGACAGAGACAGAGACAGGAAAGCUAUGAGUAGGGAUGCAGGUUUCUCUGCUUUUUGCCCAACCUGUUGAUGCAACACACAACCUUUUCUCCCAGUGGCUUCACACUCGAUUCGUCAUCUUCGAGCUCUCACUGUUAACCAUCGGGCCUGCGGAGAUAUGGGAACAUUAUCGGGAUAGGAGGCGCAUUUAGCAGCUGUUUAUUCACACACUUUCAGAGAAACUUUGAAGACUUUUGGAAGUAGAUUUUUCUAAGUGUUUCCAAGUGUUAAAAGGGGGAAACAUCUUCCAACUCUAAGGACACGUAAAACCAAAGACUGAAUCCCUGAGUGGAUUACUAAACUGAACAUGGCCUUUUCAUCCGAGAAGCACAAAUCCCUCUUCCCCCUCGUCCUCUUCCUCCUAGUCUUCGUCUCUCUCACCUGUUUAUGCCAGUCGGCCAACACCAGCUCCUCGAAUACAACCAACAAAAUCCAAACCACUUCCUCUCCGUCCUCAAAUGGCACCCUGAAGAGAAUACCUGGCUGCAAAACAGGGCUGAACCCCAUCUAUAGGUACCUGUGUGACCGGCGGGCAGCGUGGGGCAUCGUGCUGGAGACCCUGGCCUCGUCUGGCUUCCUGUUCAGCAUCGCUCUGUUCCUCGGCCUCCUCCUCUGGUCCCUCUGGCUCUGUGUCUCCUUCAAGGACCAGCGCAGCAGCAUCGGAGGAACCGUGUUCUCCAUGUCUCUGUUCCUGCUCGCCACCGCCGGGAUCUUCGCCAUCACCUUCUCCUUCAUCAUCAGAAACACCUCUCAGACCUGCCCCACCAGACUCUUCCUCUUCAGCAUCUUCUUCUCCCUCGCCUUCUCCUGUUUGCUGGCUCGAUGCCUCGCUUUAUUGGGUUUUGCAGCAGCUCGAGGAUGGGGGGAACCGGCCCUCGCUUUGGGACUCUUCACCGUCCAGGUUAUCAUCUCUACUCAGUGGCUGAUCCUAGUCUUAGUUCGGGACAAGAAGCCGUGCGAGUACAGCCAGGAGGAGUUCGUCAUGAUGCAGAUCUACGUCAUGUGUAUCCUGGUCAUCAGCUUGAUCCUCUCCCUUCACUUCCUGUGUCAAUCCUGCAACACGUACACCUACAGUUACACCGGUGCCGUCCGCCAGCACAGUCGAUUUCACGCCACGUUGCUUUUCCUCACGCUGCUGGUUUCCGCCUGUAUCUGGGUGGUGUGGAUCACGAUGUUGGUCAGAGGGAAUCCAGAGUUGGACCGUAGGCCUCGAUGGGACGACCCGGUGAUUUGCAUCGCUUUGGUGGCAAACGGUUGGGUGCUUCUGAUGGGCUACGGCUUGUCCCAGAUCGCCUUCUUCUGCCGAGGGGAGGCCAAGUCCAAGGACCUCCCUCUGAGCUUUGCAGGAUGGACCAGUCCCAGCGCUGAUAUUCCAGGAUUGAACAGCCCCAAGGAAGGGAAUGAGAACGGGAGCUUUGAGAGCGAUAGUGAGACCAGAAGAGAACUAAUGUCUUGGAACAGAUUCGAAGUAUCGGAAGCGUCCUGAUUUCUGCAGGAGGACGGAGCAGUCGCUGAGAUCUCCCUACGAGUCGGGAUACUCCAUGACAGACAUCGACCCCGACAAGGACUACACCAUCCCUCGCCCGAAGACCACCAACUACCUGGAACCUUAUGAUGAAUAUUGAUUGAAAUAAUUGUCUGGUUCCGACACACACACAUGAACAUAAACUGAUGUAUACCAAAGACAACGCCAAGCCCAAACUCGUGCACUGAUCUGUGCUUAAAGGGAUACUUUAACCCCCUAAAAAAAUCAUUUAGAUAUCAAUUACUCACCGAAUGUUUUCUUGAAUUCUUAAAAAAAGUUUUUCUUGCAUGCCGACAAAAAAUCUUAAAACACAGAAGUUGUGAUGAAGUGAAGUAAAUGGUCCAACAACAACAACAACUGCAUGAAAACACGAUUUACAAAUGUUUGCACAAUUUUCAUUGUCUAAAUCAAGUCAUAUUUAUCCAAAUAUAUGCUAAUUAUUUCAUCAAACACAUGCAUUUUUUCCAAAAUCUUACUUUGUGGCACACAAGAAAACACGAAUAUGUCUUCAAGAGUUCAAGGUAACACCGGUGUGACUUAAUGAUCUAUUUAACGACAUAUUUUAAUUUUUUGGGGGACGUAUUCCUUUAAUGUACAAAAAAAAUAGUUUUUCUACAUUUCAUUUUCUUGUGCAAAUGUAAAUAUUUGUCAUUUAGUGUUUUAAGAAACUUUACUUUAUAAAUGUGUCAAUAUGUAAAACCCUCCGUCCCGAAAAGAAGAAAGAGACUCGAACAGAAUGACUCAUCUGCCCGAGUAUCAUCAUGGAGGAGCGAUGGGUUCAGCUCACGGGAAAUCCAUCACCAAAUGCUUUGUGAUGGUGUGUGUGUGUGUGUGUGUGUGUGUGUGUGUGUGUGUGUGUGUGUGUGUGUGUGUGUGUUGCUCUCAGAGUGUAUAUAAAAGCCCUGAGGUGAUGGAGGAGGCGUGGAACUGCCACUCUGAAGGUGCCAAACUGCAGAGGAGAGGAAGGAUGAAAGUAUGGAGCGGGAUUAGAUGAGAGGAGACAGGAGGAGACAGUGCCAUCAGUGAUUAACAUCUUCAUAUUCAAAGUUACUUUACAGUCGCUGGGUUUUGUUUCAGAAAACAAUGUUCAUAAAUGACACAAAGUGGGUGUCUUUAGAGACUUUCUACACAUGCUCAAUAAAAGGGUUUAUCCAUAAAAGUUG